rnacentral:piRNA from 1 species
AAGUACAGUAUUGGAAAUUAAAGGUGGA